rnacentral:rRNA from 1 species
CCGCCAGACUCCUACGGGAGGCAGCAGUGGGGAAUAUUGCACAAUGGGGGAAACCCUGAUGCAGCGACGCCGCGUGAGUGAAGAAGUCUUUCGGUAUGUAAAGCUCUAUCAGCAGGGAAGAAAAUGACGGUACCUGAUUAAGAAGCCCCGGCUAACUACGUGCCAGCAGCCGCGGUAAUACGUAGGGGGCAAGCGUUAUCCGGAUUUACUGGGUGUAAAGGGAGCGUAGGCGGCAGGGCAAGCCUGAUGUGAAAGCCCGGGGCUUAACCCCGGGACUGCAUUGGGAACUGCCCCGCUCGAGUGCCGGAGGGGCAGGCGGAAUUCCUAGUGUAGCGGUGAAAUGCGUAGAUAUUAGGAGGAACACCAGUGGCGAAGGCGGCCUGCUGGACGGUGUACUGACGCUGAGGCUCGAAAGCGUGGGGAGCACACAGGAUUAGAUACCCGAGUAA